rnacentral:rRNA from 1 species
UCAGAAACUUAAAGGAAUUGACGGGGGCCCGCACAAGCGGUGGAGCAUGUGGUUUAAUUCGAUGAUACGCGAGGAACCUUACCUGGGCUCAAAUGUAUGUUGACGUAUUCUGAAAGGGAUACUUCUUCGGACAAUAUACAAGGUGCUGCAUGGUUGUCGUCAGCUCGUGCCGUGAGGUGUCGGGUUAAGUCCCAUAACGAGCGCAACCCCUAUCAUUAGUUGCCAUCAGGUCAAGCUGGGGACUCUAAUGAAACUGCCUACGCAAGUAGUGAGGAAGGUGGGGAUGACGUCAAAUCAGCACGGCCCUUACGUCCAGGGCUACACACGUGCUACAAUGGCCGAUACAGAGGGCAGCUACCUGGUGACAGGAUGCAAAUCUCCAAAGUCGGUCUCAGUUCGGAUCGGAGUCUGCAACCCGACUCCGUGAAGUUGGAUUCGCUAGUAAUCGCGCAUCAGCCAUGGCGCGGUGAAUACGUUCCCGGGCCUU